UUCUGUGGUCUAGACACAGAACAUCUACCAGCUACCUACCAGACUACAUUCUACAUUUUGUCUUUGUUGCGGCGCGGUGGCCUCCCUUUAAUUUUGUUUUUUUUCGCUCUCUCUCUGGCUGUGCGCCAAGCGCCGUUAUUUCGCGGCGUGCGUUGCGCAGGUGUUCUGUGGUUGCGCUGUUUCUCUUGUGACCAGAGGUGCAAUACGACGAUGCACGAGCCUUUUGACCGACAUGUGAUCGAAAAGUACCUCUAAAAGUUACAGCAUCUCAAAGACUGCUACUCUCACGGCUACCUGAAGUCAGGCGAUGAGCUUAAGCUUUUUGAUAGGCCAUUGGCUGCCGUCAACGAGAGCUAUGCUGUGCGGACCUCAAAAGACUUGACCAAGUCGUCCAAAUCCAAUGUUGCCUUCUCUAUGAUCCACUCUAGGUGUAGAAUUUCUCUGGACAAUGCACCGUUUCGAGUACUCAAGGAAACCGUCAAAGUCUGCAUAUUUGGAACGGAAUACUAUAAGAAGACUCCAGAGAAAAGACAAAAAGGAUCUGGACUCGAGUGCCACUGGCUGGCCGAAGGAGGCAUACAAGAUUCAAAUGCCACUGUCUGGCCGAAGGAUGAGCACAAGAAAAAAAAAUUACAGCAUAUCCACGGGGUGAAUCAUGAAGAGUGGGGCGAAGCUCUUUAACAUUAAAGAUACCGCGGCCCACACCUCAAAUGAAACUUGUGAGUAACGUGUCAUUUAAACAAUGUUUAUUAUUUUAAAUGUCGCUCAUUAUUCCCA